CGUGCCAGCAGCCGCGGUAAUACGAAGGUCCCGAGCGUUGUUCGGAAUCACUGGGCGUAAAGGGAGCGUAGGCGGCGUGGUAAGUCAGAUGUGAAAUCCCGGGGCUCAACCCCGGAACUGCAUCCGAUACUGCCGUGCUAGAGGAUUGGAGAGGUAGCUGGAAUUCACGGUGUAGCAGUGAAAUGCGUGGAUAUCGUGAGGAACACUCGUGGCGAAAGCGAGCUACUGGACAACUCCUGACGCUGAGGCUCGAAGGCCAGGGUAGCGAAAGGGAUUAGAUACCCCUGUAGUCCUGGCAGUAAACGGUGUGCGCUUGGUGUGAGGGGAAUCGACCCCCCUUGUGCCGGAGCUAACGCGUUAAGCGCACCGCCUGGGAAGUACGGUCGCAAGACUAAAACUCAAAGAAAUUGACGGGGACCCGCACAAGCGGUGGAGUAUGUGGCUUAAUUCGAUGCAACGCGAAGAACCUUACCAAGGCUUGACAUGCAUCUCUAAGCGCGUGAAAGCGCGUGACCCUUCGGGGGACUUCCACAGGUGCUGCAUGGCCGUCGUCAGCUCGUGUCGUGAGAUGUUGGGUUAAGUCCCGCAACGAGCGCAACCCCUGUGAUUAGUUGCCAGCACGUAAUGGUGGGGACUCUAGUCAGACUGCCCAGAUCAACUGGGAGGAAGGUGGGGACGACGUCAGGUCAGUAUGGCCCUUACGCCUUGGGCUGCACACGUACUACAAUGCCCAGUACAAUGAGAACCGAUGCCGCGAGGUGGAGGAAAUCUUGCUGAAAAACUCGAGCCAUCCGGAAGAUCUGGCGGCCGCUCUCCCU
rnacentral:rRNA from 1 species